rnacentral:rRNA from 1 species
UACAGAGGGGGCAAGCGUUAUUCGGAAUUAUUGGGCGUAAAGGGCGCGUAGGCGGCUUUUCAAGUGACGGGUGAAAUCCCUCGGCUUAACCGAGGAACUGCCUGUCAGACUGGAAGGCUUGAGACCGGGAGAGGUGAGUGGAAUUCCCAGUGUAGCGGUGAAAUGCGUAGAUAUUGGGAGAAACACCAGUGGCGAAGGCGGCUCACUGGCCCGAUACUGACGCUGAGGUGCGAAAGCGUGGGGAGCAAACAGG